rnacentral:rRNA from 1 species
GGGUUGUGAGGUUAAGCGACUAAGCGUACACGGUGGAUGCCCUGGCAGUCAGAGGCGAUGAAGGACGUGCUAAUCUGCGAUAAGCGUCGGUAAGGUGAUAUGAACCGUUAUAACCGGCGAUUUCCGAAUGGGGAAACCCAGUGUGAUUCGUCACACUAUCAUUAACUGAAUCCAUAGGUUAAUGAGGCGAACCGGGGGAACUGAAACAUCUAAGUACCCCGAGGAAAAGAAAUCAACCGAGAUUCCCCCAGUAGCGGCGAGCGAACGGGGAGCAGCCCAGAGCCUGAAUCAGUGUGUGUGUUAGUGGAAGCGUCUGGAAAGGCGCGCGAUACAGGGUGACAGCCCCGUACACAAAAAUGCACAUGCUGUGAGCUCGAUGAGUAGGGCGGGACACGUGGUAUCCUGUCUGAAUAUGGGGGGACCAUCCUCCAAGGCUAAAUACUCCUGACUGACCGAUAGUGAACCAGUACCGUGAGGGAAAGGCGAAAAGAACCCCGGCGAGGGGAGUGAAAAAGAACCUGAAACCGUGUACGUACAAGCAGUGGGAGCACGCUUAGGCGUGUGACUGCGUACCUUUUGUAUAAUGGGUCAGCGACUUAUAUUCUGUAGCAAGGUUAACCGAAUAGGGGAGCCGAAGGGAAACCGAGUCUUAACUGGGCGUUAAGUUGCAGGGUAUAGACCCGAAACCCGGUGAUCUAGCCAUGGGCAGGUUGAAGGUUGGGUAACACUAACUGGAGGACCGAACCGACUAAUGUUGAAAAAUUAGCGGAUGACUUGUGGCUGGGGGUGAAAGGCCAAUCAAACCGGGAGAUAGCUGGUUCUCCCCGAAAGCUAUUUAGGUAGCGCCUCGUGAAUUCAUCUCCGGGGGUAGAGCACUGUUUCGGCAAGGGGGUCAUCCCGACUUACCAACCCGAUGCAAACUGCGAAUACCGGAGAAUGUUAUCACGGGAGACACACGGCGGGUGCUAACGUCCGUCGUGAAGAGGGAAACAACCCAGACCGCCAGCUAAGGUCCCAAAGUCAUGGUUAAGUGGGAAACGAUGUGGGAAGGCCCAGACAGCCAGGAUGUUGGCUUAGAAGCAGCCAUCAUUUAAAGAAAGCGUAAUAGCUCACUGGUCGAGUCGGCCUGCGCGGAAGAUGUAACGGGGCUAAACCAUGCACCGAAGCUGCGGCAGCGACGCUGAUGCGUUGUUGGGUAGGGGAGCGUUCUGUAAGCCUGCGAAGGUGUGCUGUGAGGCAUGCUGGAGGUAUCAGAAGUGCGAAUGCUGACAUAAGUAACGAUAAAGCGGGUGAAAAGCCCGCUCGCCGGAAGACCAAGGGUUCCUGUCCAACGUUAAUCGGGGCAGGGUGAGUCGACCCCUAAGGCGAGGCCGAAAGGCGUAGUCGAUGGGAAACAGGUUAAUAUUCCUGUACUUGGUGUUACUGCGAAGGGGGGACGGAGAAGGCUAUGUUGGCCGGGCGACGGUUGUCCCGGUUUAAGCGUGUAGGCUGGUUUUCCAGGCAAAUCCGGAAAACUAAGGCUGAGGCGUGAUGACGAGGCACUACGGUGCUGAAGCAACAAAUGCCCUGCUUCCAGGAAAAGCCUCUAAGCAUCAGGUAACAUCAAAUCGUACCCCAAACCGACACAGGUGGUCAGGUAGAGAAUACCAAGGCGCUUGAGAGAACUCGGGUGAAGGAACUAGGCAAAAUGGUGCCGUAACUUCGGGAGAAGGCACGCUGAUAUGUAGGUGAAGCGACUUGCUCGUGGAGCUGAAAUCAGUCGAAGAUACCAGCUGGCUGCAACUGUUUAUUAAAAACACAGCACUGUGCAAACACGAAAGUGGACGUAUACGGUGUGACGCCUGCCCGGUGCCGGAAGGUUAAUUGAUGGGGUUAGCGCAAGCGAAGCUCUUGAUCGAAGCCCCGGUAAACGGCGGCCGUAACUAUAACGGUCCUAAGGUAGCGAAAUUCCUUGUCGGGUAAGUUCCGACCUGCACGAAUGGCGUAAUGAUGGCCAGGCUGUCUCCACCCGAGACUCAGUGAAAUUGAACUCGCUGUGAAGAUGCAGUGUACCCGCGGCAAGACGGAAAGACCCCGUGAACCUUUACUAUAGCUUGACACUGAACAUUGAGCCUUGAUGUGUAGGAUAGGUGGGAGGCUUUGAAGUGUGGACGCCAGUCUGCAUGGAGCCGACCUUGAAAUACCACCCUUUAAUGUUUGAUGUUCUAACGUUGACCCGUAAUCCGGGUUGCGGACAGUGUCUGGUGGGUAGUUUGACUGGGGCGGUCUCCUCCUAAAGAGUAACGGAGGAGCACGAAGGUUGGCUAAUCCUGGUCGGACAUCAGGAGGUUAGUGCAAUGGCAUAAGCCAGCUUGACUGCGAGCGUGACGGCGCGAGCAGGUGCGAAAGCAGGUCAUAGUGAUCCGGUGGUUCUGAAUGGAAGGGCCAUCGCUCAACGGAUAAAAGGUACUCCGGGGAUAACAGGCUGAUACCGCCCAAGAGUUCAUAUCGACGGCGGUGUUUGGCACCUCGAUGUCGGCUCAUCACAUCCUGGGGCUGAAGUAGGUCCCAAGGGUAUGGCUGUUCGCCAUUUAAAGUGGUACGCGAGCUGGGUUUAGAACGUCGUGAGACAGUUCGGUCCCUAUCUGCCGUGGGCGCUGGAGAACUGAGGGGGGCUGCUCCUAGUACGAGAGGACCGGAGUGGACGCAUCACUGGUGUUCGGGUUGUCAUGCCAAUGGCACUGCCCGGUAGCUAAAUGCGGAAGAGAUAAGUGCUGAAAGCAUCUAAGCACGAAACUUGCCCCGAGAUGAGUUCUCCCUGAC